UUGGGCACACGGAAGACGCCCGCCAAAGUCUGGUGCCAUUCCGAGUCCCGCGGACGAACUUCGCCCACGCCCCCCACCAAGGCUAUAGCCCACCCGUUUUUUGGCCAUUUUUCCGCUGGGGGGUCUUGGGACCCCGACCUUCGGUGGCUGAUUUUUGGGCGCGGCUGUCCCCGUGGCCUAUUUUUCGCACACAGAGGCCGCCCGCCAAGUAUGGUGCCAUUCCGACUCCCGCGGACGAACUUCGCCCACGCCCCCCACCAAGGCUAUAGCCCACGCGUUUUUUGGCCAUUUUUCCGCUGGGGGGUCUUGGGACCCCGACCUUCGGGGGCUGAUUUUUGGGCGCGGCUGUGCCCGUGGCCUAUUUUUGGAACACCGAGGCCGCCCGCCAAGUGUGGUGCCAUUCCGAGUCCCGCGGACGAACUUCGCCCACGCCCCCCACCAAGGCUAUAGCCCAUGCGUUUUUUGGCCUUUUUUCCGCUGGGGGGUCUUGGGACCCCGACCUUCGGGGGCUGAUUUUUGGGCGCGGCUGUGCCCGUGGCCUAUUUUUGGCACACAGAGGCCGCCCGCCAAGUAUGGUGCCAUUCCGAGUCCCGCGGACGAACUUCGCCCACGCCCCCCACCAAGGCUAUAGCCCACGCGUUUUUUGGCCUUUUUUCCGCUGGGGGGUCUUGGGACCCCGAUCUUCGGGG
rnacentral:lncRNA from 1 species